rnacentral:rRNA from 1 species
AUUGAACGCUGGCGGCAUGCCUUACACAUGCAAGUCGAACGGCAGCACGGGAGCAAUCCUGGUGGCGAGUGGCGAACGGGUGAGUAAUAUAUCGGAACGUGCCCAGUAGUGGGGGAUAACUGCUCGAAAGAGCAGCUAAUACCGCAUGAGACCUGAGGGUGAAAGCGGGGGAUCGCAAGACCUCGCGCUAUUGGAGCGGCCGAUAUCAGAUUAGCUAGUUGGUGGGGUAAAGGCCUACCAAGGCAACGAUCUAUAGUUGGUCUGAGAGGACGACCAGCCACACUGGGACUGAGACACGGCCCAGACUCCUACGGGAGGCAGCAGUGGGGAAUUUUGGACAAUGGGCGCAGGCCUGAUCCAGCAAUGCCGCGUGCAGGAAGAAGGCCUUCGGGUUGUAAACUGCUUUUGUCAGGGAAGAAAUCCUCUGGGUUAAUACCUCGGGGGGAUGACGGUACCUGAAGAAUAAGCACCGGCUAACUACGUGCCAGCCGCCGCAGUAAAAC